CAAACUGCUCCGCCAAACAACUACGAGUGAAAACUUAAAACUUAAAAGACUUGACGGUACUUCACACCCAACCUAGAGGAGCCUGUCUACUAACCGAUAAUCCACGAUUCACCCAACCCCUUCUAGCCCCCCAGCCUAUAUACCACCGUCGCAAGCCUACCUUGCAAAAGAAACAAAGUAAGCCAAACAGUAAUCCACUAACACGACAGGUCAAGGUGUAACUAAUGAAGAGGACCAAGAUGGGCUACAUUCUCCAACUUAGAUCAUACAAAUAAGGUUAUGAAAUCAACCUUUGAAGGUGGAUUUAGCAGUAAGCUGAGAACAUAAUACUCAACUG
rnacentral:rRNA from 1 species